rnacentral:rRNA from 1 species
GACGAACGCUGGUGGCGUGCUUAACACAUGCAAGUCGAGCGGUAAGGCCCUUUCGGGGGUACACGAGCGGCGAACGGGUGAGUAACACGUGGGUGACCUGCCCUCAGCUCUGGGAUAAGCCUGGGAAACCGGGUCUAAUACUGGAUAUGACUCCAUGACGCAUGUUGUGGGGUGGAAAGCCUCGUGCGGCUGAGGACGGGCCCGCGGCCUAUCAGCUUGUUGGUGGGGUGAUGGCCUACCAAGGCGACGACGGGUAGCCGGCCUGAGAGGGCGACCGGCCACACUGGGACUGAGACACGGCCCAGACUCCUACGGGAGGCAGCAGUGGGGAAUCUUGCGCAAUGGGCGAAAGCCUGACGCAGCGACGCCGCGUGAGGGAUGACGGCCUGGUGU